rnacentral:rRNA from 1 species
CGAGUCUUGUUUUAAUUAUAGGUAUUUUUUUGCUAGAGUACGUAAGGAAAAGGAAAGGUUAACCGCUGUCAAAAAUAAAAACU